rnacentral:tRNA from 1 species
GGUGGGGAUCGACUGGGACGCAGAAAUCCCGACUCAAAAUCGAGCGGGAAACCGUAGGGGUUCGAGUCCCCUCACCGGCACCA